rnacentral:rRNA from 1 species
GACGAACGCUGGCGGCGUGCUUAACACAUGCAAGUCGAACGGAAAGGCCCUGCUUUUGUGGGGUGCUCGAGUGGCGAACGGGUGAGUAACACGUGAGUAACCUGCCCUUGACUUUGGGAUAACUUCAGGAAACUGGGGCUAAUACCGGAUAGGAGCUCCUGCUGCAUGGUGGGGGUUGGAAAGUUUCGGCGGUUGGGGAUGGACUCGCGGCUUAUCAGCUUGUUGGUGGGGUAGUGGCUUACCAAGGCUUUGACGGGUAGCCGGCCUGAGAGGGUGACCGGCCACAUUGGGACUGAGAUACGGCCCAGACGCGUACGGGAGGCAGCAGUGGGGAGUAUUGCACAAUGGGCGGAAGCCUGAGGCAGCAACGCCGCGUGCGGGAUGACGGCCUUCGGGUUGUAAACCGCUUUCGCCUGUGACGAAGCGUGAGUGACGGUAAUGGGUAAAGAAGCACCGGCUAACUACGUG